CUCCAUGGUAUUCCUGGUCUUCAGAAACUGAAGCUGGAAAUAGGCAACCUGACUGAGAGCUGGGCUACCAGGAUCCUCUCCUUUAGCUCCUGUCCCAGUCUUAACAAAAUCUGUGUGACUACCUUGCACAUGUUAAUGGAGGAUGCGAUCUUACAAAUAAAGAAGAAGUGGAAGCAUCGUGACUGCGUUGUGGUUCUGAAAGGACUGAGAUGCAGCAACUCAGCUGCCAGAUGCACAGAAGAAAACUGGACACCGCACACUUAUCUACAGUGCAACGACAUGGUGAAGCUAUCACUCUGUGGAGGCUUUUGUUCACAGCUGGAUGGGUGUUACAAGACAGACAGUGAGAGUGAAGCAGACACUUAUGAUUACAGGUUUGACUUAAAUGAAGAUCAACCAGAUGCUCAGGAACCUGAAUGGGCAGAAGAGGAAUUAACUGAAGACUAUGAUAUAUUCGAGUUCUAAUGAAAUAUAUUAGCGACUGAAAUCAUCUCCAGGGUAAGCCUAAUAGUCUUUCUAAUGGUACAAUGUGUUUUGCAACUGCUACGUACACGCUGAUCUAAUCUAUGAUGAGAAAUGUGGGAUAUCAAAAGUCUACAGAAAGAUGAAGAUCCCAAAAAAAAAAUUCUCACCUGCAAAAUAAAACAAUUGAAAGCUUGAAUCAAAUAUGUACUAUGUAAACGUAUUAUAACACAGUGUUUUACUUUUUUUUUGCUCUAUUUAAGCACUUAUUUUAAUUAGCUUUUGUAGGAUUACAAUUACCAAAAUGUGGUAGAACCUAUGGUGGA